rnacentral:rRNA from 1 species
AGCAGCCGCGGUAAUUCCAGCUCCAAUAGCGUAUAUUAAAGUUGUUGCAGUUAAAAAGCUCGUAGUUGAAUUUCGAGACCGGUUUACUGGUCGUGCUUUUGUACGUACUGGUAUUAUUGGUUUCUCCUUUCUGACGAACUAUAAUGCCAUUAAUUUGGUGUUUUAGGGAAUCAGGACUGUUACUUUGAAAAAUUAGAGUGUUUAAAGCAGGCUCACGCUUGAAUACAUUAGCAUGGAAUAACGGAAUAGGACGUUUGAUUCUAUUUUGUUGGUUUCUAGGAUCGACGUAAUGAUUAAUAGGGAUAGUUGGGGGCAUUAGUAUUCAAUUGUCAGAGGUGAAAUUCUUGGAUUUAUUGAAGACUAACUACUGCGAAAGCAUUUGCCAAGGAUGUUUUCAUUAAUCAAGAACGAAAGUUAGGGGAUCGAAGACGAUCAGAUACCGUCGUAGUCUUAACCAUAAACUAUGCCGACUAGGGAUCGGAUGAUGUUAAUUUUUAAUGACUCAUUCGGCGCCUUACGG